GCAUGCCUACAACAUAGCAUUAAUGCAUUGGAUCCCAUUAGAACUCCGCAGUUAAGUGCACUUAGUCUAGAGUAGUACCGGGAUGGGUGACCUCCCGGGAAGUCCUAGUGUUUUACAUGCC
rfam:Picea glauca, whole genome shotgun sequence.